rnacentral:tRNA from 1 species
GGGCCGGUCGUCUAGUGGGAGGAUACCGCCUUCGCACGGCGGAGGUCCCGGGUUCGAAUCCCGGCCGGUCCACCA